rnacentral:rRNA from 1 species
GGGCUACACACGUGCUACAGUGGGCGGUACAAAGGGUCGCGAACCCGCGAGGGGGAGCCAAUCCCAAAAAGCCGCUCUCAGUUCGGAUUGCAGGCUGCAACUCGCCUGCAUGAAGCCGGAAUCGCUAGUAAUCGCGGAUCAGCAUGCCGCGGUGAAUACGUUCCCGGGCCUU